AUUGAACGCUGGCGGCAUGCCUUACACAUGCAGGUCGAACGGUAACAGGUCUUCGGAUGCUGACGAGUGGCGAACGGGUGAGUAAUACAUCGGAACGUGCCCGAUCGUGGGGGAUAACGAGGCGAAAGCUUUGCUAAUACCGCAUACGAUCUACGGAUGAAAGCGGGGGAUCUUCGGACCUCGCGCGGACGGAGCGGCCGAUGGCAGAUUAGGUAGUUGGUGGGAUAAAAGCUUACCAAGCCGACGAUCUGUAGCUGGUCUGAGAGGAUGAUCAGCCACACUGGGACUGAGACACGGCCCAGACUCCUACGGGAGGCAGCAGUGGGGAAUUUUGGACAAUGGGCGAAAGCCUGAUCCAGCCAUGCCGCGUGCAGGAUGAAGGCCUUCGGGUUGUAAACUGCUUUUGUACGGAACGAAAAGCCUCUUUCUAAUAAAGAGGGGUCAUGACGGUACCGGAAGAAUAAGCACCGGCUAACUACGUG
rnacentral:rRNA from 1 species